UUUCGGGAAAAGAGGAAAAUUUAUUGGUAUGGCUUUGGUAUUUGCGUUGUUGGCCGUAAUUCGUACUCCGCAACUCGAACAGGCAGGAAGUAGAGAAAGUCGCUUAUUGCACGUCGUUACGUUAUAUCUCGAAAUGUGAUCGACAAUUAUCUCAGAGUUAACUGUUACAAUUAAUAACGGCCAUUUGUCAGAGUGGAUAUUUCGCUCGCGUAAUUCAUUUCGCGUAAGGAUUAGAUUGAUUGACAGUAAAGAUUGUAAAAUAUCGUCUCGUUACAAAUUAAUAACUACUUUAUCGUAAAUGCUUGGAUUCCGAUACUUGCGUCGCGUUUUAUUGCCAAUUUAAAAGCGAUUUAUCCAUUGCUACUUUUGAAACGGGAACCCGAGGUGACACGCGAGUUACCGGUUUAAAUGAUUUGCAUGAUGGAAAGUCACACGACAUAUGCUAGUAAUACUUUGUGCGUUUUGCGGUGUUUCAGGUCGCGUACGGAAGUGCCACGUGAAAUUUCGCGCGAUCGCAAUUAAUCAUUUUCGCGAGUGAAUACUGUGUGAGUGGGACGAGGAAACUGAGAGGAGGCGGUGGCCUGGGAGGCAUCGGGCAACAGCGGAGCAACCUUGAGUUCACAAUUUACAACGUAGUCUACAACUCCGCUGUCGGGCGUAUCGAUCGAGCGUUGCCGCAGCGCGGCGUGCAGCUGCCCAGUUAAA